rnacentral:rRNA from 1 species
CCUACGGGUGGCAGCAGUGGGGGAUAUUGCACAAUGGGGGGAACCCUGAUGCAGCGACGCCGCGUGGGUGAAGGAGCGUUUCGGCGCGUAAAGCCCUAUUGGUAGAGAAGAAGAUGACUGUACCUGACCAAGAAGCACCGGCUAACUACGUGCCAGCAGCCGCGGUAAUACGUAGGGGGCAAGCGUUAUCCGGAUUUACUGGGUGUAAAGGGGGCGCAGACGGCAUAGCAAGCCAGGUGUGAAAGCCCGGGGCUCAACCACAGGACUGCACUUGGAACUGGAUGGCUAGAGUACAGGAGGGGCAGGUGGAGUUCGUAGUGUAGCGGUGAAAUGCGUAGAUAUUAGGAGGAACACCGGUGGCGAAGGCGGCCUGCUGGACUGUGACUGACGUUGAGGCCCGAAGGCGUGGGGAGCAAACAGGAUUAGAGACCCUGGUAGUC